AUGUGAUGCAUGCUCACGUGUCUCCGCAGCCGGCUCGGGAAAGAAUCCCCCAAGCUCCAUUUCAUGAGUAAGCGUGAGAGCCGCUCAGUUUCCUCCAGCUCUGCUGAAGCCAGCACAGAAGUAGCCCAAACUCUUCCCUCUGCUGACAGCAAAUUUUAGGCAAAGUCUUGAGAAAGAAGAAAUUGGGUCCAGAAAGGGAAGUGAGGAGAAUCAGAUCCCAGACCUUUGGGGAGAAGGAGCAACCGCCUCUGGCACAGCCCAUCAGGGAGAAAGAGCAGGUUGAGAAGAGUCCUAAGCUAACAGCCCCAAACAGGUGGGUGUUGCUCAGCUCCCUGAGGCAUGUGGUUGUAAGGCAGAACCCACAGACCUUGCAGGAAGAAGGCUCUCGGGGCCAUGGCCCAGGUCAGCAUCAACAAUGACUACAGCGAGUGGGACUUGAGCACGGAUGCCGGGGAGCGGGCUCGGCUGCUGCAGAGUCCCUGUGUGGACACAGCCCCCAAGAGUGAGUGGGAAGCCUCUCCUGGGGGUCUGGACAGAGGCACCACUUCCACACUUGGGGCCAUCUUCAUCGUCGUCAACGCGUGCCUGGGUGCAGGGUUACUCAACUUCCCAGCAGCCUUCAGCACUGCGGGGGGCGUGGCAGCAGGCAUCGCACUGCAGAUGGGUAUGCUGGUUUUCAUCAUCAGUGGCCUUGUCAUCCUGGCCUACUGCUCCCAGGCCAGCAAUGAGAGGACCUACCAGGAGGUGGUAUGGGCUGUGUGUGGCAAGCUGACAGGUGUGCUAUGUGAGGUGGCCAUCGCUGUCUACACCUUUGGCACCUGCAUUGCCUUCCUAAUCAUCAUUGGCGACCAGCAGGACAAGAUUAUAGCUGUGAUGGCGAAAGAGCCGGAGGGGGCCAGCGGCCCUUGGUACACAGACCGCAAGUUCACCAUCAGCCUCACUGCCUUCCUCUUCAUCCUGCCCCUCUCCAUCCCCAGGGAGAUUGGUUUCCAGAAAUAUGCCAGCUUCCUGAGCGUCGUGGGUACCUGGUACGUCACAGCCAUCGUUAUCAUCAAGUACAUCUGGCCAGAUAAAGAGAUGACCCCAGGGAACAUCCUGACCAGGCCGGCUUCCUGGAUGGCUGUGUUCAAUGCCAUGCCCACCAUCUGCUUCGGAUUUCAGUGCCACGUCAGCAGUGUGCCCGUCUUCAACAGCAUGCAGCAGCCUGAAGUGAAGACCUGGGGUGGAGUGGUGACAGCUGCCAUGGUCAUAGCCCUCGCUGUCUACAUGGGGACAGGCAUCUGUGGCUUCCUGACCUUUGGAGCUGCUGUGGAUCCUGACGUGCUCCUGUCCUAUCCCUCGGAGGACAUGGCCGUGGCCGUUGCCCGAGCCUUCAUCAUCCUGAGCGUGCUCACCUCCUACCCUAUCCUGCACUUCUGUGGGCGGGCGGUGGUGGAAGGCCUGUGGCUGCGCUACCAGGGGGUGCCAGUGGAGGAGGACGUGGGGCGGGAGCGGCGGCGGCGAGUGCUGCAGACGCUGGUCUGGUUCCUGCUCACCCUGCUGCUGGCGCUCUUCAUCCCUGACAUCGGCAAGGUGAUCUCAGUCAUUGGAGGCCUGGCCGCCUGCUUCAUCUUCGUCUUCCCAGGUGCGGACCCCUGGCGCCCCAUCUCACAGCCCCACAGCACAGACUCCCAGGGCCUGCCUAGCCUCAGCUCCCUACUUGCUCAAAACAUGCAGGAGAGAGUAACCACCAGCACUAAUUGAUCACCUGUCUCGCCUCUGUACUAGCCCCUAUCCAAGCAUUAUCUCCUGGAAAGAAGGGCUGUGCCUCAUUCAAGCCAAACUCUCUGAGAUGGAAGAGGUCAAACCAGCCAGCUGGUGGGUGCUGGUCAGCUACGGAGUCCUCUUGGUCACCCUGGGAGCCUUCAUCUUCGGCCAGACCACAGCCAACGCCAUCUUUGUGGAUCUCUUGGCAUAACCACUGCCUCCCAGGGAACACAAGGCCUUUGCCAUUGGUCGCAGGAACCCAUCUCUUAGAGCUAUGGGGCCAUUCUUAGUCCACGAUCAUUCCAACUGGUGGGAUGACAUCCGGACAUCCUCUUCCAGGGACUGGGGCAAACUCAGGCCCCACACCUCUGGACAGCUCAAAUCCAGUCCCCUUCCUGCUCCCCAGUCCUGGCAGUGCCGUGGAUGGCGGCAGGAAGUCUCACAUCAUAGAGGACCCCUCCUCCUCUCCCAGUUCUCAACUUCUCCAUGCCUGGAAUCCACGGGUGAAGAGAGUCGGUAGAUCUCAUAAGAAAGAAUCCAGUCUGACUUCCCUCUGGAGAAUGACUAUGGACAGAAGGCCACCAUCCUCCACAGAGCACCCUGUCCUGAGUAGGGGUUGUGCUCAUUACCCCAGGCCAGUGGUAGCUUCCUCAGGAGCCUGGCCACUUCCAACGGUAGCACUGAAGUCAUGCAAAUGCAUAGUCAGGUAGAUUCAGACCUUGUCCACACCUUCCUGGGCAACCCCCACCAUGAACCUGUCAGCCUCUUUCCCAUAGCUAAUAGACAUUUCCCAGGCCUUGAGGGGCCCCACCCUGUCUCUUUCAUCAAACCUGAUGGUCCAGGCUGGGCAUCCCUCUCCUCCUCCAUCCCCAGACAUCACCAGGUCUAAUGUUUACAAACGGUGCCAGCCCGGCUCUGAAGCCAAGGGCCGUCCCGUGCCACGGUGCUGUGAGUAUUCCUCCGUUAGCUUUCCCCAUAAGGUUGGGAGUAUCUGCUUUUGUGUCUGAGAUGGGCCCCUCUUUUCAGAGGCCGCAGGGUGGGUGAUGGAGAAGGCUGAGAACCUUUCAGACCCUCUGUGUGGGCUGGGCUGGUCAGAAUCAGGGUGUACCUCCCCGACACCUUCUUUUUCAGUGAUGUUUUCUCUUCUUCCUGCCUUUCCUCUGCCUCCUCCCCUGCCAGCCCUAGCGUGACUACCCAGAGACAAAAAAAAAAAAAAAAAAAAAAGGCAGGGCUGGGCGCAGUGGCUCACGCCUGUAAUCCCAGCACUUUGGGAGGCCAAGGCGGGCAGAUGACUUGAGGUCAGGAGUUCGAGACCAGCCUGGCCAACACGGCAAAACCCCAUCUCUACUAAAAAUACAAAAAAUUAACCGGGCAUGGUGGCGGGCACCUGUAAUCCCAGCUACUUGGGAGGCUGAGGCAGCAGAGCCGCUUAAACCCAGGAGGCAGAGACUGCAAUGAGCUGAGAUCGUGCCAUUGCACUCCAGCUUGGGCAACAAGAGUGAAACUUCAUCUCAAAAAAACAGAAACAAACAAAAAGGCAGCUGGGUUGUCACUGAUGGGCAGCAUUUGAGCCUGCCACACUGGCCUGGAAGUUUCCCUUCCAGUCUGGAUUUUGUCUGCUCCUUCCUUCCCCCUCACCCCGUUACCUCUUCACCUCCCAUCUCACUUCACUGUGUAGCUCAGUCUCUCCCACGCACAUAAUUGGGGACAGUGGGGGCUCUCUUACCAGCCUCCUCAGCAACGCACGUCCAUCAGGCCUGGCCUCAGUGGCCAGCCACAUUGAUGUCACACUGGAAUUGUUACCCCAGAGAGGGCGAAGAGAUAGGCUAUCUCCCCACCUCCCACCCUACUCCCCACUAUAUUCCCGUUUUGACCACCUCAGCCCCUCAGCUGCCCCCUCUCACUUUGGCCAAUCCCAGGCACCAAUCAGACUUCCUCCUCCACCUGGAGCCCCUAGCAUUUCCUUGUCCCCUCUUCCCCAAAACCUCUGUAAAGGGUACGAGAGGGACCCCCUGCCGAGCCGCCCGCCACUCAGGGCAGUCCGAUCUAAGAAGCAGAAGCUGGUUGGAGGCUGGCUGGGCCUCUGUCCAGUCCCCAGAUGGAUAAACUGCCUUUUCUCACAUCCCCUCUUGGUGCCUGAUCUUCUCUGCCCCCGGGGCCAGACCCACUGUGCUGUUUUCUGUCAGUCUGUGGCACAGCACCAAGCUCUGCCAGCACCAGUCCCUGACAGGGCUAGGAGGACAGCCUGGUCAGCAGGGCUGCAGUCCCCCAGUGCCGUGUUUCGGGGGUCAAGGGAUGUAAGUGGAGUCAUUGCACAGAGACAGACCAGUCAGGAGAAGGAGCUGGAAUCUGGCCUCUUGUCCUAACCUCAGGAGCCCCCUCCCAUCCUCUCCCCACCCUCCCUAUCGGGGUACUUCACUGUUUCUUUUCUACUUGUGUAUACUCGAGAAAGGGAAGAUGGUUAAUAAAAGGGAUUUGUGCUGCUGA